UAUCGCGCCAAUAAUGCCUUCCCUGUUCGUUCUCUUCUCAAUCUCACCAUUUUUGCUUUAAUUUCCAUGAAAUUACUGCCAAAGCAAUGAAACCGGAGAACCUCCUCGUCCGUCCCCGGCCCACCCAGAAGUGCACCACGGGUUGCCCCGUCCUCGACCGCUGCCUCGGUGGCGGCAUCCCCUGCCGCUCCGUCACCGAGAUCGUCGCCGAGAGCGGUUGCGGAAAGACCCAGCUUUGCCUCCAGCUCCUCCUCUCCGCCCAGCUCCCGCCCUCUCACGGCGGCCUUUCCGCCUCCUCCCUCUACCUCCACUCCGAAUUCCCCUUCCCUUCCCGCCGUCUCCACCAGCUCUCUCGCGCCCGUCCAUUCGACCCCCGCCACGACCACGACCCUUUGGAGUAUAUCUUUGUGCACCCUCUGCACUCCGCGGACCACCUGCUUGACGCAAUGCCCAAGAUGGAAUCUUUCGUGGAGAACUUCAAAAGCCAGUUCCCGAUUCGGCUUAUUGUUAUCGAUUCGAUAGCGGCUUUGUUCCGGUCGGAGUUCGACAAUAACCCGCUUGAUCUCAAACGGAGGUCGUCUAUGUUUUUCAAGAUCUCGGGAAAACUGAAGUUGUUAGCUGAGAAGUUUGAUCUCGCAGUUGUGGUGACGAAUCAGGUGGUUGAUUUGGUCGCUCCCAAUGAGGGGAUUAACGGACUGAGGAUUGGGAACUUGGGGUGCUUGGAUUCAUCCGGGAGACGGGUUUGUGCUGCGCUGGGUCUGGCGUGGGCGAAUUGCGUGAACUCGAGGCUGUUUUUGUCUAGGGAUAAAGAGAUUGUUAGUACAGUGAAUGGCGCGAGGGAUGAGUGUGGCUGUGAACUGAUGCAUUGCAGAACAAGGAGAAAACUCCAUUUGCUUUUUGCGCCUCACAUCCCUGAUACAUCUUGUGAAUUUGUGAUUACCAGAGAGGGAAUUUCUGGGGUUUGCAUAUAACUCAUGGUCUCUAUCUAUACAGUCUGAGCUUCUGCCAGAGAGAUGGAGAAAAUCGAAAUGAACGAUAGUGGGUAUCUGAUGAUUGGCAAAGGAACACGAAUGAUUCAAUUCCCACUACCCUCGGCCAACUUUUGACAACAAAUGGAGAUGGAGAAAAUCAAAACAAAUGAUAUUGGGUGUCUGCUCCUUUUUCCUGGAAUAUCUUCUGAUGUGUUUAGAACUGAUUCUUCUUGAUGGGAUGUCACUAACUGGCGAGAACUUCUCUU